rnacentral:rRNA from 1 species
UACGUAGGGGGCAAGCGUUGUCCGGAUUCAUUGGGCGUAAAGAGCGUGUAGGCGGCCAGGUAGGUCGGUUGUGAAAACUGGAGGCUCAACCUUCAGACGUCGACCGAAACCAUCUGGCUAGAGUCCGGGAGAGGAGAGUGGAAUUCCUGGUGUAGCGGUGAAAUGCGCAGAUAUCAGGAAGAACACCCGUGGCGAAAGCGGCUCUCUGGAACGGUACUGACGCUGAGACGCGAAAAGCGUGGGGAGCGAACAGG